rnacentral:misc_RNA from 1 species
GAGAGAGAGAGAGAGAGAGAUUGUUGGUGUUAAAUUAAAAACGUGAACUAGAGAGAGAGAGAUUUGUGGUGAAAGAUGUGUUUGCAAACUAUUCCUUGCUGUUCUGACUCCUUGGAAACUAAAACUGGUGGCAUUUCCUAAUAUUUUUUCAAGAACAGAAAUGGCGAGUUGUCCAAUUUUUGGUCCUUCGUAGCCCUAGUCAUUGCAAUUGAUUAUGCUUCACAAUCUUCCUUAUUUGAUUUACCCCUCAGCUCUGUUCCUUUAUAUUGACCAUCAUGUUUGGCAUUGCCAAUUUGUGUUUGCAGCUACCAUGAAAUGCUUCAUUUUUCCUUCAAUUUUAUAAGAAUCCACUUGUCAGUUACUAAUGGUACUUCAAAUUUUCUCAGGUGAAAUCUCGAGCAAUAGAAU